rnacentral:tRNA from 1 species
GGGCCUAUAUCUCAGUUGUAGAGCAUUUGACCGCAGAUCAAGAGCUCACCGGUUCCAAUCUGGUUGGGCCCU